GUUUGUUAAAACACGGGUGGCUCUUGCCUCCCCAGCCUCCCCUUCCCCCUCCUCCUCCCCUUUUCUGAUUCUUUAAAUCUAAUAAGGGCCCCAGAAUUUGCGUUUCUUACAAGUUCCCAGGGGAUGCUGAGGCCGUUGUGAACGUCAGAUCGGUUCAGGCUUGUGAAGUAACCUGGCAAUCUGCGAGGCAGAAGGGGCAAAACUGAGAAGCAUAAGGCAUUCCAGGAAGAAGGAGCGAGAAACGUGUGUAAUAGCUGAUGGUCAGAAAGAACAGAGCAGCUCGGAGAACACUUGAGAGUU
rnacentral:lncRNA from 12 species